CUCAAAUUAGCGCGAGCUCUUUCUAUUUCAAACUGACUUACUGAAGAAACGCCCUCUACCAUGGAGAACACAGAGAAGAGCACAGAGCAAGCUACUUCAACUGCCUGCACUGAUCUGGAAAACAUACUGAAAGGGCUGGACUCCUUGUCUAACUGCAUGGAUCAACUGGCAUUGCGAACCCAGCUGAGGCAAUGUGAUCUGAUCGUUUGUGUUGGCCACCCUGACAAGUCGGUGUUUCUGAAAAUCCAAGAGGCUCUGAAGCAGCAGCCCCCAGCUUGACAUGACACUGAGGCAUGAAGAACAAAGGAAGAGGAGGAUGAGAUAUAUGAGACCGUGACGGGCAACACCUGACCUUGUUCACCUCUCUGAGAGCAGCUUCAGCUUGAUGUCUGGUCACCUUUCCGCCAUACCAGCUGGGAUCCAAGCCCUGGAUGCAACAUAAUAAGACACUUAUAGUAAGGACUACAUAAACUAACUCUUCUCAUUUCUUUUUAACACUGACAGUAAUGUGCUUUACGCUAUUGUAAAUAAAUAUAACAGAUGUUUCCAAUUAUCCAACCUAGUGAAUAAAAUGCAAAUCUCUUGAG